rnacentral:rRNA from 1 species
UACAGAGGGGGCAAGCGUUAUUCGGAAUUAUUGGGCGUAAAGGGCGCGUAGGCGGUCCAUCAAGUCAGGGGUGAAAUCCUGCAGCUUAACUGUAGAAGUGCCUCUGAUACUGAUGGUCUGGAGGGAAAUAGGGGUGUGCGGAACUUCCAGUGGAGCGGUGAAAUGCGUUGAUAUUGGAAGGAACGCCGGAGGCGAAAGCGGCGCACUGGAUUUCUUCUGACGCUGAGGCGCGAAAGCCAGGGGAGCAAACGGG